UAAAGCUCAUAGGCUUCAGUAUAUAGAGCAUUUACGGAAAAUUAAAUAUUUUCGUAGGGGUUAACCAAUAGAUUUUGAGAAAAAUUCAAAAAAAUUCAAAAAAAUGAAAAUUCUAUUUUAAUGCAUAGUUGCAUCAUUCACUAACAUAUGAUGAAUGUCAAAUAGGUUUGGAACCUUUGUUGUCUCCGUUUUUCUAGAGAAUAGCGAUUUUAUAGUAGUUAGUCAACCAAUUUAGGGAAGUAUUAUGAAGUUUUACUAAAUUAAUUGACAAAAAAAUUUCAAUGAUGUCCAUGUACCAUGAAAGAGAGUUUAAUAUACAUUAAUACAAAUGUGGAAUGUGUUUAAAAUUUUAAAACAACACUAAAGCUCAUAUGCUUCAGUAUAUUGAGCAUUUACGGAAAAUUAAAUAUUUUCGUAGGGUGUUAACCCAUAGAUUUUGAAAAAAAUUCAAAAAAAUGAAAAUUCUGUUUUAAUACAUAGUUAAAUCCUUCACUAACAUAUGAUGAAGGUCAAAUAGGUUUGGAACCUUUGUUGUCUCUGUUUUUCUGGAGAAUAACGAUUUAUAGUGGUUAGUCAACCAAUUUAGGGAGUAUUCUGAAGAUUUACUAAAUUUAUUGACAAAAAAAAUUAAACGAUGUCCAUGUACCAUAAAAUAGAGUUUAUUAUACAUUAAUACAAAUGUAGAAUGUGUUUAGAAAUUUUAAAACAACACUAAUGCUCAUAGGCUUUAGAAUAUAGAGCAUUUAC